rnacentral:tRNA from 1 species
GCCGUUGUAGCUCAGUCGGUAGAGCACAUCCAUGGUAAGGAUGAGGUCACCAGUUCAAUCCUGGUCAACGGCU